rnacentral:rRNA from 1 species
UACAGAGGGGGCCAGCGUUAUUCGGAAUUAUUGGGCGUAAAGGGCGCGUAGGCGGCCAUGCGUGUCUUCCGUGAAAUCCCUCGGCUUAACCGAGGACGUGCGGAAGAAACUGCAAGGCUCGAGUCCGGAAGAGGGGGGCGGAAUUCCCAGUGUAGCGGUGAAAUGCGUAGAUAUUGGGAGGAACACCAGUGGCGAAGGCGGUCCCCUGGGCCGGAACUGACACUGAGGCACGAAAGCGUGGGGAGCAAACAGG